rnacentral:lncRNA from 1 species
CAUUUAAAGAAGUUGUUGGUUUUGUAAAAGAAUCAAAUUAUUGUGAAAUUUGAUGAGGGUAGUUACUGUACUAGAAAAAAUCCUCUUUAGCUUGUCAGUCUUCCUAAUCUUAUGAAAAUUAUAUAAAUAUACCUAUUUUUAGCUCACCUUUCCAAAAGGAAAUGUGAGCUUUUGCCAUCACUUGGCGUCCGUCGUCAUCCGUCCGUCGUAAACUAUUUCAAAGGUCUUCUCCUCUGAAACUACUGAACCAAUUCAAACCAAACUUCAUCUGAUUGAUUCCUAGGGUAUCUAGAAUAAAGUUUGUGUUUUAAUUCCCAUUUCAUCAAAAAAACAUGGCCGCCAUGGCUAAAAAUAGAACAUAGGGGUAAAAUGCAGUUUUUAGCUUAUAACUCAAAAACCAAAGCAUUUAGAGCAAAUCUGACAUGGGGGUAAAAUUGUUUAUCAGGUCAAGAUCUAUCUGCCCUGAAAUUUUCAGAUGAAUCGGACAACCCGUUGUUGGGUUGCCGCCCCUGAAUUGGUAAUUUUAAGGAAAUUUUGCUGUUUUUGGUUAUUAUCUUGAAUAUUAUUAUAGAUGUAGAUAAACUGUAAACAGCAAUAAUGUAAUGCUUGGGGUAUACAAUGUUUUUUUAUACUUUCAUCAUAAAUUAUAUUAUGAACACGAGACAAACGAGACAUUUCAGUGUGUCCACUCUUGUUUUUGCUUUUGAAGAAGAUAUGACAGAAUCGAAGAACCAUUUAUAUAAAUUGAAAACCCAAAAUAAUCAUUGAUGGAAGAUUUAAGCAAAAAAUUUAAGGUGAGCGAUUCAGGCUCUUGAGAGCCUCUUGUUAUUAUCAUAAUGAUGAAAAAUAGUUAGAGUAUGUCAAUUGUAAUUGAUCCACUAAAAGGAAAAGAUUACCAUUUUUGAGCUUUUCUCAUCACUUGGCGUCGGUCGUCUGUCGUCCAUCAAUGUCAGUUAUUGUGGUCGUCCAUUAAAUUUACAAAAAUCUUCUCCCCUGAAACUACUAGUCCAAAUUUAACCAAACUUAGCCACAUUCAUCACUAGGGUAUCUAGUUCAAAAAGGUGUCCGAUGACCCCACCUGCCAACCAACAUGGCUAAAAUAGAACAUAGGGGUAAAAUGCACUUGAAGCAAAUCUGACAAUGGGUAAAAAUGUUCA